rnacentral:tRNA from 1 species
GGUUGUAUAGUGUAGUGGUUAUCACGUUCGGUUUUGAUCCGAACAACCCCGGUUCGAAUCCGGGUACGACCU